rnacentral:lncRNA from 1 species
AAAAAGAAGUGUACAUUGGGUGUUCUUGAUUCCAUGAAAAUAAACUGUCAUGGGGAUACAUUAAUGAAGCAAAAGAACAGAUUUGAGGGAAAAGAAAGAAAAAAUAAACUUGUUUUUUGUGCUGCUGUGUAGGUCCUGGGGGAAUAAGCUUGAGGUUGUCUCUUUGAUCUUCUUUUUGAUUGCUGUAUUUCUUAGCAUCUUUCUGUUGGCUAGUUGUGAGGUGGUGUGACACAGGUUUUGUUGUGUUUUACGAUCUUCUACUUUGAUUAAAAAACAAAAAGUAAAAAUAUAAUUUAAAAUAACCCACAAAACACUGUAGCAACAAGUAUCCAGUCAUUCAUCUCUACCUUUCAUUAUCUUGUCAUCUAAUCCAAUGGUGAAAAAGCACUCUUCACGGGUGAGAGAUAUGUUUCACUUACCC